rnacentral:rRNA from 1 species
GUCCACGCCCUAAACGAUGUCUACUAGUUGUCGGGUCUUAAUUGACUUGGUAACGCAGCUAACGCGUGAAGUAGACCGCCUGGGGAGUACGGUCGCAAGAUUAAACUCAAAGGAAUUGACGGGACCCGCACAAGCGGUGGAUGAUGUGGAUUAAUUCGAUGCAACGCGAAACCUUAACCUACCCUUGACAUGGCUGGAAUCCCCGAGAGAUUGGGGAGUGCUCGAAAGAGAACCAGUACACAGGUGCUGCAUGGCUGUCGU